CCACUUUGUUUUGCAUUCUGUGAUGUCCUUAGCAGAAUAUGCCAUGCUUGCAUCUAUCUAGCAAGUUGGAACAGUGAUAGCAAUUUUAAUUAAUCACUGCAAGGUUCUAUUUUGCAUGAAGAAGGCUCAGCCUCUUUGACCCAUUAAUUAAAUUGUGGAAUUUACAGUUUCUUGAAAAUGUUGAAGAAGCAAAGGAUUAGACAGAUCUGAGCUUUAUUUGAAAUGGAAAUUGAGACACACUGGACUGCAGAUAGCGAAGAGAGGAGUGACAUGUUAAAAAGGGCUUCAAGUUCAACAGCCAUCUACUAAGCCAAAGCCAACUAGAGGCAGGAAUUUUCCGUGACAGAAAUAAUACAGCAGCAGGAGUCAAUGGGUUAGAUCUUCGGGGCUAAAUCAGCCAAGUGCCUUUAAACCCUGCAGAAACUCCGACUUCCACAGCGAGAAUUUCGUUAUCACUUUUUCUUUUGAAAGACAAUACUGCAGUUUGUCAUCCUUACUUACUACCGACUGUGUGUUCUGAGCUCCGUCUCCUGAAUAUUUCCCUGUUCUCACAAUAACUGGAAUGGUUUCCAAGAUUUUCAGAACAUUUUCUGUUUCUCUUCUGAAGAGCUCCUAAGCAUUUGACCUGCAAAUGUUUUCUCUGGAGCUACAGAAGUCCUUAUAGAAAAGAUUAAAACUAGGACCUGUUUAUCACUGAAAAGAAGUGCCCAUCUGAGGUUCUUCCUAUCAGCACAGGAGGCAGAGACAAGAUUUCUAAUGAACCAUUCAGUACAAGCACUUUGAAACUACCUAAUCACCAACAGAUUUCACCUGCAACAGACUUAGGUAAAUACUCAGAACUUUCCAGCUGGAGAUGCAUGUUAUGAAGAGCAUUAAGAGCUGCAGAAUGGGUACUGUAAAGUUUUUACUAACCAGUUUUUGAAAUGAGAUGCUUCUAGCUCAGGAGAGCAUUGAAGGCAUAUUUAAAUCCUCCUGAAAACUCUAAGCCAGUGCUUAAGUGCUUUUGGAAAUCAUCACUGGGGUGAGUCUGAUUUUCAUGCAUCCUUUCUGAAAUCCCUCUCUUCCUUAUUCUUGCAAAUGAGCUGUCCUGCAGGAAAGUUGGUGGAAUGAUAAUUUUCAAGCCAAAGUUAGAGAGAAUUUGUUCGAAACAAGAAUUUGGAGUUCAGAAUUUCUGCCACAGACCUGAUGCAACGAGUGGUAUUCAUCCAACAGGGAGACUGUGCUAUGAAGAAUGUGUCUAGCUGAAUUUUACUCGCAGCAAAGUGCUCUUGGAUAGGUUCCAAGACAAUAAUUAUUGGAUACCGGGGAGCUGCAAAUAAGUGCUAAGGGAUUAGGAAGCACAGCACUCGCACAGAUAACAUCCCCCCUUUUGGCUGCUCAGAAUCCCAUCUCUGCUCUGGCUACCAUGACAAAAUCUCCAUCUUCUCUUUCCAGCUACUAACUGAUGCUGAGCGAGAUGAAAGUGUUGGGUGCUGGGAGACAUUUUGUAGUAUUUGCCAAGUGCUCAUGCACAAACCCCGAAACUGGGCAGAGGCUUUGGGAGGUCCCAGCCAUGUCUCCUUGGAAAAAUGUUUUCCCAUGAGGCCCAUGGCUGCAACUCAAACUCAGCUGCCCCAUGGCAUUGCUCCACACAAAAGAAAGGGUCCAGCCACACAGCUUGUAAUGCCAAAGAUGGAUACCAACACAGUGGACAUACUGAUGUGAUGAAUGAAUUAACCAAGGAGCAUAAUACCUCAUUGCCAACUGAGAGCAAAUCCUUGAAGUUCAGUGCUAUUCCACUUAAAAUAUUUCAGUUGGAUCUCAAACCAAGAUGUGCAGAAGAAUUGUUACCACUGAAGAAGCUGGAUUUUUUGUCAAGAAGGAGACUCGUGAUUCCUUUGCUUCAGGGAAAUUUAAAUGAAGAAACGUUCAAUUUGGAGGUUUGCCUAUUCUACUUGGAAAAUGUUAAAAAAUGGGUUGAAGAAAACAAGAAGAGCCAGAAAAGACUGCAAAGGAAAAUUGCCAUAUCUUUAGUCAAGUUUAUAAAUCUUUCCCUGGGACUUUUUGACAAAUGACUGCCCACCAACUUUGUGAGAUUUCUCCUGGACAUGCCUCAGAAACUUCUGGCAUUUUGCCAUGCAGGUUUGCCCGCUAGAAUUUCUCAAAUGUUUUUUUUUUUAAUUUUUCAUGGGAGGAGGUUGUUUUCUCAAGGAGUGUUGGUGCCUUUUCCAUCCAGUCUCUCUCACUUUUCUUAAGUACAGACUCGCUUACAUUCAGAUUAAUUUUGGGCAAGGUCAGGAGUAGUGAAAUGGCCAUAAGCAUAAUGCUGUUGCUGCUGUUUUCACAGGCCAUCUCUGAGAGCAGCUGAAGUUGCAUGUUUUUCUGGCUCGGUUGAGAAGUAAUUUGGAAUAGAGCUCCUUUGACUCAAGCAUUGAAGCCAGACCUAAAUGCUUGAGUGAGAUUUCCACACUAACAUAAACUGAAGCACAUCCAAACAUCUGCUGCUCAACAUGCCUGAGAGUUAUCUUUCACCCUCUUGCCAGAUUCCUUGGUGCCACAUAUAGAUUUGUAGUUCCCUCUGUGGAUUUCUUUUCCCUUUUCCUCUGCUGUGCUCUUCUGAUCAUCCUCUAAUGGACCUGAACCUCUGUCAAAUACAUCUCUUUGCCACUGUGGGCAAACCAUUUGUCUUGAAUGGUGUAGAUCUGCUUGUUUUUUCCCAGAGGACUCUCUUGUUGACUACUAAUACAUGGUUUCUGGUACUGGAGCAUGUGCAGGACAGUGAUGUUCUUGUAGAGUGGAGCUCAUUAAGGAUAUUGAUUUGGGGUGAACUAUGGUAACUGGAUUGAACUGUUGCUCCCAAAUCCCUGUGUCUACGUCACUUUGCUCCAAGGAAUUGCUGAGACACCCAAGGAAAGAGUGUAGCUGCUCUAGGCUACCAUUUUCAGUUGAUGAGGUGAGCAGAACAUCAGAGAAUGGUCUGGGGGUGUCCUGUAGUGCUCUUAGCUGUUUUUGUUGACUCAUCUCCUGAUGUGGCUGCCUUUGGUAGUCACAGAGAUGUGCCUGGGAGGGAUGCAGACAGAUGAGGCAACAGGCAGAGCAGAGAGCUUCAGAUGAGUUAUUUGCAUCCAGACAAGGAACAGGGAAAAUAAAAGGACCUUGUGUCACAGUUCUGGGGCUCUUGGGGUUGUAUCAUACUGUCACUGUAGAGUUCAGUGGAGGACAGUUGUUUUGCUUUAAAAAUGGGAGAGUGAACAGUUUUAUUUAACUAAGAGUUAUGGAGAAGUCCAGUAUCCAUCUGACAACAAUCAUGGCAAGAGAAAAGGAUGUUUUUUGCUGCAUGAGCUGUAUGUGAUUAUAGUUCUCUUCUUCCUUUACCUAUGCAGGUAGCAUACAUGUCAGCACGUAGCUUCAAAACCUACCAUCUUCAUGAGUUGUGUUUAUAGUUAUACACUUAUUAAAUGAUUGUGUGCACUCGUACUCAGACUAUUAUAAAUCCAUUACUUUCCUGAGGCCAUAGGAAAUGGUUUUAAAAUGUGAAGCUUUUCUGCAGGGAAUUGAGAGAGAGCAAUACUAAAGCAGUGUACUUGGUUCACACAGAUCAAUGUAGUGCAAUAACUGGGAUGAGAAACCAAGCUUAAAACAUUACCAAUGUGAUUGGAUGAAAGCUUAACAUGGCUUUGAGUAAUGUCUCAUUAUAAGUAAAAUCUCUUAAAACACCUUUGGGGGGGAAGACAAAGCAAACUGCUUAGCAGCAAAUCAUAAAAGAGAAAUGAUGGUGCUUGCACUUGAAACUGAACUCUGGGUAGUACAAGCACAGUAGCAGUGAAACAUCAAGUUUGGCUGCCUUAUUUUCAAAAUGCUGGUGGUGAUGUUAGCCCAAGUCUUGGGAUGGGAGAUAUCAGGAGGUUUUAGAUAUUUUUGAUCUUUCCAUGAGAACUUUCAUGAAGACAUUCUCUUCAUCACUAACUUAAUUUCUCUGUCUGGAAAAAAAGUUUUCCAAAACUGACAUCUUACUAUCUGAGAAGAGAAAACAACAUCAACAACAACAAACAACCACAAAGAAAUCAUUAUUUCAGUUGAGAUUUAGAAUUGGUAAGUUUAGUUCCCACUGGGUUCAAACACUCAGGCACAAAUGUUACCCAACGUGCAUUGGAUUUACCUGCGUUUUUAAGACCACGGUUUAAUAGUUCAUCCCAGCACAGAAAGGCACACUGUACAGCUUAGUGUCGUCUUAGUUUUUUAUGUGAAUUUAUAUUAAGCUGAAAAUAAAUAUAAAUGACAGGAAAUGUUUCCUCUU
ensembl:lncRNA